rnacentral:misc_RNA from 1 species
AUUAAUGUUGGUUUUCUUCUUGUUUUUUUGGGCAAAGAAAUCCUCAAAGUACAUAGUCCAACCACUCUCUUCAGCACAACCAUGAUCAUCAUCAUCAUCACCAAAAAAGCAAGUUCUCUCAGGGACAAGUUUUCUCAUAGAAUUCAUUGAUGAGCCCUGCAUAUGUGUAUAGAAACUUGAGAAGAAGAAUACAAGGAGAAGAUAUAGCUAGAGAUAUAAAUGAAAUUUG